rnacentral:lncRNA from 13 species
AAGAAAAUGAAUAUAUCCCAAGUGGGUCUGCUGCUAUAAAUGAAUCCUUAAAAAGGAAAAGUUUAUUCCGUUUUUACCAGCAGAUGAAGUUUCUUGAUGACGUUUAAGUAAAAUCUGUGACGUGCAGCAGUCUAUCAAGUACAAGUAUUAACCUUUAAACACACCGAUCCUGUAAAA